GAGUGGCGAACGGGUGAGUAACACGUGGGUAACCUGCCCAGAAGUAGGGGAUAACACCUGGAAACAGAUGCUAAUACCGUAUAACAGAGAAAACCGCAUGGUUUUCUUUUAAAAGAUGGCUCUGCUAUCACUUCUGGAUGGACCCGCGGCGUAUUAGCUAGUUGGUGAGGUAAAGGCUCACCAAGGCAGUGAUACGUAGCCGACCUGAGAGGGUAAUCGGCCACAUUGGGACUGAGACACGGCCCAGACUCCUACGGGAGGCAGCAGUAGGGAAUCUUCCACAAUGGACGCAAGUCUGAUGGAGCAACGCCGCGUGAGUGAAGAAGGGUUUCGGCUCGUAAAGCUCUGUUGUUAAAGAAGAACGUGGGUAAGAGUAACUGUUUACCCAGUGACGGUAUUUAACCAGAAAGCCACGGCUAACUACGUGCCAGCAGCCGCGGUAAUACGUAGGUGGCAAGCGUUAUCCGGAUUUAUUGGGCGUAAAGCGAGCGCAGGCGGUCUUUUAAGUCUAAUGUGAAAGCCUUCGGCUCAACCGAAGAAGUGCAUUGGAAACUGGGAGACUUGAGUGCAGAAGAGGACAGUGGAACUCCAUGUGUAGCGGUGAAAUGCGUAGAUAUAUGGAAGAACACCAGUGGCGAAGGCGGCUGUCUGGUCUGCA
rnacentral:rRNA from 1 species